rfam:Triticum aestivum genome assembly, contig: Triticum_aestivum_CS42_TGACv1_scaffold_604212_7DL
CUGGUACUCCCUCCAUCCGAAAAAGCUUGUCCCAAGUUUGUCCCUCAAAAUGGAUGUAUCUAUCACUAAUUUGGUAGUAGAUACAUUCAUAUGAGGGACAAGCUUUUUCGGACGGAGUGAGUAGUAC